rnacentral:rRNA from 1 species
CGCGGCCUAUCAGCUUGUUGGUGGGGUAAUGGCCUACCAAGGCUUCGACGGGUAGCCGGCCUGAGAGGGUGACCGGCCACACUGGGACUGAGACACGGCCCAGACUCCUACGGGAGGCAGCAGUGGGGAAUAUUGGACAAUGGGCGGAAGCCUGAUCCAGCAACGCCGCGUGAGGGAUGACGGCCUUCGGGUUGUAAACCUCUUUCAGCGCCGACGAAGCGAGAGUGACGGUAGGCGCAGAAGAAGCACCGGCCAACUACGUGCCAGCAGCCGCGGUAAUACGUAGGGUGCGAGCGUUGUCCGGAAUUAUUGGGCGUAAAGGGCUCGUAGGCGGUUUGUCGCGUCGGGAGUGAAAACACCGGGCUUAACUCGGUGCUUGCUUUCGAUACGGGCAGACUUGAGGCAUGCAGGGGAGAACGGAAUUCCUGGUGUAGCGGUGAAAUGCGCAGAUAUCAGGAGGAACACCGGUGGCGAAGGCGGUUCUCUGGGCAUGUUCUGACGCUGAGGAGCGAAAGUGUGGGGAGCGAACAGGAUUAGAUACCCUGGUAGUCCACACCGUAAACGUUGGGCGCUAGGUGUGGGGCCUAUUCCAUGGGUUCCGUGCCGCAGCUAACGCAUUAAGCGCCCCGCCUGGGGAGUACGG